AGUGAACGCUGGCGGCAGGCCUAACACAUGCAAGUCGAGCGGCAGCGCGGGGGCAACCCUGGCGGCGAGCGGCGGACGGGUGAGGAAUACAUCGGAAUCUACCCAGUCGUGGGGGAUAACGUAGGGAAACUUACGCUAAUACCGCAUACGACCUGAGGGUGAAAGCAGGGGACCGCAAGGCCUUGCGCGAUUGGAUGAGCCGAUGUCCGAUUAGCUAGUUGGUGAGGUAAAGGCUCACCAAGGCGACGAUCGGUAGCUGGUCUGAGAGGAUGAUCAGCCACACUGGAACUGAGACACGGUCCAGACUCCUACGGGAGGCAGCAGUGGGGAAUAUUGGACAAUGGGCGCAAGCCUGAUCCAGCCAUGCCGCGUGUGUGAAGAAGGCCUCGGGUUGUAAAGCACUUUUGUUGGGGAAGAAAAUCUUCCGACCUAAUACGUCGGGAGGCUGACGGUACCCAAAGAAUAAACACCGGCUAACUUCGUGCCAGCAGCCGCGGUAAUACGAAGGGUGCAAGCGUUACUCGGAAUUACUGGGCGUAAAAGCGUGCGUAGGUGGUUCGUUAAGUCUGCCGUGAAAGCCCCGG
rnacentral:rRNA from 1 species